CCUACGGGUGGCAGCAGUGAGGAAUAUUGGUCAAUGGACGAGAGUCUGAACCAGCCACGUAGCGUGAAGGAUGACUGCCCUAUGGGUUGUAAACUUCUUUUAUAAAGGAAUAAAACGAGGCACGUGUGCCUUUUUGCAUGUACUUUAUGAAUAAGGAUCGGCUAACUCCGUGCCAGCAGCCGCGGUAAUACGGAGGAUCCGAGCGUUAUCCGGAUUUAUUGGGUUUAAAGGGAGCGUAGAUGGGUUGUUAAGUCAGUUGUGAAAGUUUGCGGCUCAACCGUAAAAUUGCAAGUAAUACUGGCAGUCGUGAGUACAGUUGAGGUAGGCGGAAUUCGUGGUGUAGCGGUGAAAUGCUUAGAUAUCACGAAGAACCCCGAUUGCGAAGGCAGCUUACUAAACUGUGACUGACAUUGAUGCUCGAAAGUGUGGGUAUCAAACAGGAUUAGAUACCCCAGUAGUC
rnacentral:rRNA from 1 species